rnacentral:lncRNA from 1 species
UCAGAGCUUUUGGUGACCAUCUCGUAUGGUAAAGGCUCAUGGAUCUCAAAGAUAGAGGGAAUCAACGAGAUAAGUCUUCACGAUGACUGGUGGUUGAAACAGGUGUGGUUGGAGGUAGCCGGAGAGGCGGUGGGUUCAUCAGAGAAGAAGAGAACCAGAAGGUUCUAGAGAGAAGAGAGAGGAACAGACAAAGAGAGAG